GAUGAACGCUGGCGGCGUGCCUAAUGCAUGCAAGUCGAGCGAACAGAUAAGGAGCUUGCUCCUUUGACGUUAGCGGCGGACGGGUGGGUAACACGUGGGUAACCUACCUAUAAGACUGGGAUAACUUCGGGAAACCGGAGCUAAUACCGGAUAAUAUUUCGAACCGCAUGGUUCGAUAGUGAAAGAUGGUUUUGCUAUCACUUAUAGAUGGACCCGCGCCGUAUUAGCUAGUUGGUAAGGUAACGGCUUACCAAGGCGACGAUACGUAGCCGACCUGAGAGGGUGAUCGGCCACACUGGAACUGAGACACGGUCCAGACUCCUACGGGAGGCAGCAGUAGGGAAUCUUCCGCAAUGGGCGAAAGCCUGACGGAGCAACGCCGCGUGAGUGAUGAAGGUCUUCGGAUCGUAAAACUCUGUUAUUAGGGAAGAACAUACGUGUAAGUAACUGUGCACGUCUUGACGGUACCUAAUCAGAAAGCCACGGCUAACUACGUG
rnacentral:rRNA from 1 species